GUGCUCAAUUUGGUAGCACAUAUACUAAAAUUGGAACAAUACAAGGAAGAUUAGCAGGGCCCUGGGCAAAGAUGACAUGAAUUAAAAAAAAAAAAAGAUGACAUGA